rnacentral:lncRNA from 1 species
AAUCAAGUGAAGAAAAGAAAGUAAGCAGCUCUCGAGUUCCUAGUACGCCAGUAAGCUCAGAUACACCCAAAUCUGAACACUCCUUCGUUGAAGCAGUGCCAAGUUCUAACAAAAAGAUGAGGAAAAACAUAGUAGAUAUCUCCGACCCGCGCUACCUGAAACCGUUCGAAUUUGGAUGGAGGCGAGAGCUAGUCUAUCGCGCUACCAAUGAAGAUGGCAAGCGCCAAGGAGAUAUUUACUACUACACCCCUAGCGGCAAAAAAGUUCGCCUCGCAAAGAGAAGUCUCAGAACAUAUUACUGAUCCAGAACUUACGGCAGAUAACUUCACAUUCAGCAAAGAGCCCAUUGGCCUGAAUGAUAGUGAAAAGGAAAUAAUUCGAGAUGCUAAAAUGCGAAUGAGCAAGGACUGGGCAACUCCACCACCAAGAGCUGCAGUGAAAACGCCGAAAGCCAAAGCAACAGCAACUCCUCCCGCAACUCCAAAAUCGACGCCAAAAGUGGUCAUCAAGACGCCGACGCCCAGCUCAGGUGGAUUGAAAGUAAAGUUCACAGGAAUCAAAUCAGGUUCCACAGCAGCUAAGUCAAGUGUACCUAAUCAAGACCCGCUAAAGUUAAAAAGCGCAAGAGUU